GAUGAAGAACGCAGCGAAAUGCGAUAAGUAAUGUGAAAUGCAGAAUUCAGUGAAUCAUCGAAUCUUUGAACGCACAUUGCGCCCGCCAGUAUUCUGGCGGGCAUGCCUGUUCGAGCGUCAUUACAACCCUCAGGCCCCCGGGCCUGGCGUUGGGGAUCGGCGGAAGCCCCCUGUGGGCACACGCCGUCCCUCAAAUACAGUGGCGGUCCCGCCGCAGCUUCCAUUGCGUAGUAGCUAACACCUCGCAACUGGAGAGCGGCGCGGCCAUGCCGUAAAACACCCAACUUCUGAAUGUUGACCUCGAAUCAGGUAGGAAUACCCGCUGAACUUAAGCAUAUCAAUAAGCGGAGGA
rnacentral:misc_RNA from 1 species